rnacentral:tRNA from 1 species
CGGGGCGUAGCGCAGCUUGGUAGCGCGCUUGGUUCGGGACCAAGAGGUCGCGAGUUCGAAUCUCGCCGCUCCGACCA